CCCUUAGAUGUUCUGGGCUGCACGCGCGCUACACUGAAGCGUUCAACGAGUAUUCACCUUGCCCGGGAGGGUUGGGUAAUCUUUUCAAAACGCUUCGUGAUGGGGAUAGAUUAUUGCAAUUAUUAAUCUUCAACGAGGAAUUCCUAGUAAGCGCGAGUCAUCAGCUCGUGCUGAUUACGUCCCUGCCCUUUGUACACACCGCCCGUCGCUCCUACCGACUGGGUGUUCCGGUGAGGACUCUGGAUCCGGGGUUGAGUGGCUUGGGGUUUUACUCCUUGGCACGGCUCUGGAGAAAUUGUUCAAAUCUUAACACUUAGAGGAAGGAGAAGUCGUAACA
rnacentral:rRNA from 1 species